GAUGAAGAACGUAGCGAAAUGCGAUAAGUAAUGUGAAUUGCAGAAUUCCGUGAAUCAUCGAAUCUUUGAACGCAUAUUGCGCCCUCUGGCAUUCCGGGGGGCAUGCCUGUCCGAGCGUCAUUGCUGCCCUCAAGCACGGCUUGUGUGUUGGGCCUCCGUCCUCCUCCCGGGGGACGGGCCCGAAAGGCAGCGGCGGCACCGCGUCCGGUCCUCGAGCGUAUGGGGCUUCGUCACCCGCUCUUGUAGGCCCGGCCGGCGCUUGCCGACACAUCAAUCUUUUUUCCAGGUUGACCUCGGAUCAGGUAGGGAUACCCGCUGAACUUAAGCAUAUCAAUAAGCGGAGGA
rnacentral:misc_RNA from 1 species